rnacentral:lncRNA from 10 species
UACGUGUGAAUAGCCAUUGCCCUCCAGCCUGGGCAGGAUAGUGAGACCCCAUAUCUAAAAGGAAAAAAAAUAUUCUACACGUACAGAGCUUAGGGUGUUACUUGACACAUAGACACUCAGUAAAUGUGAUGAAAUGCAUUUUGCGUGAAUAUUUCGGCUCUGGCUAUUUACAUUAGUCCAGAAGGUGAACCCUGUGCUACUUAAGUUUUUAUAGCAGCACUGCGAGCGUAAGCAAAACCAGCCACAGUGCAGCAGAACAGUAACAGGAGAGCCGGCUGGGGCCAGAAACCAGCAGCUGGACAGCGCUCUCAUGGAGGCAAAGCCUGUUCUGACCCCAGCUCCAGCCUUUUCUAGCCCUGCGGCCGCAUCGUCCCCUGCACUGCUACUUCCUGUUUGAACAAUAGGACCUCAGUGCAGCUUGAUUCAGCGAGCGUUAAAUGAAAUAACGGGAGAAUGGACUUUGGCUCUGACCCCGGCCAUAAUGUUUGCUGUUAUUACAAAGUGAGGGCCAAGAUUACAGCAGAUCCGCACACACGGAGGUUAGAGGUGUUUUGGGGUAUUGUCAGAGAGAGACUAACAGAACUGUCUUUGGACCCAUGGAUGGUUUUGUAAGGAAGUAGUGCCUAACGCAAGUUGUAGUAAAGACCCAUGGGUAAAUGAAAACGCCUGUCCUGGGACCCGGGAGACCGGGAGGGAGCUCCAAGGCUCUUGGCCCAAGGGCGACUUGCUGGGAGGUGCCUCCUUCCAGCUGGGAAGCCAGUGCCCAGAGCAGAUGCCUCUGCUCCGCCACAGCGCUUUGAAAUGGUGACUCAGGCUUCAUGCACGCCCACUGCUGCCCGUCAGAACUCUCGGCUUCAGCAGUUAGCUUGGAAGGCAGUCGUGAGCGGGGUAUUUUGGGCAGCAUCUCAGCAGAGGGGCCCCAGCUGUGCGGGUGUUCUCCGCCUCUGCAGGCGCUGCCUGCCCUGCAGAACUCCCUCCUCGCGGC